UAAAUGUUGCUGAGAAGGAGAUCGCCCACAUUUUAGGGCCACAAACUUUCACUGGGGUUCCUGGUGGCCAUGAUUCUAUGGCAAUAUUAGGGCAGACAAGCAAAGAAAACAAAAGUGAGGGUAGCAUGGAAGCUGAUAUGCAGGAUUCUAAAAACAGUGCUCAGGCAGACAAUCAGCUAGGCAAAACAAGGAAAAGGCCUGCAUCAAAGACACUUGCACAAGCCCAGCUCGAAGUAACAUACUUCUAACCUAACAAUAUUCUUUACAUUUUCAAAAUAAUUGACUCAUCAGACCUUAUUACAUGUAUUUUUACUGUC